CUCGGGGGUUUCCUGCUUUAUGGCGAAGGCCAACCAGCUCUGCCUUGGCCUGCCCUCCAGCCCAUCCUCACAGCUGGUUCCCUGUGGCCCGGAGAUUCUGGGCAUCCUACCUGCCACCACAGGGUAGGUCUGAUAGGAAAGAUGGCAGGCGUCUGUGCCCUCUGCUGCUGCCCUCAACUGCAUGACAUGGUCAUUAAUCCUUUGCCUAUGUGAGCCUGAUCAGUUGCCUCUAAAAGCCUUGGAAUGGGGGAUUGAACUUAAAUUGGGAGACACAGAGGCACAGCGACUCUAGAACUUGAGCGAGAGAAAAGAUGACAAUGACUGUCCCCAUCCUGAAGUGAGGUGAGGCUGUGCACUCCUCAGGCCAGUGUCCCUUCCCUGCCCAGGCUACUCCUUGGGAAGUGAUCAGAAGUGGUAUGUUGGAUACUCAGAAGCACAGACAAGGGAGAAAUGGAGCGUGUCUGAGAGCAGGGAAAGAUUCAUGGACAAGGGCUCAUCUCCUCCCUGGGAUGCUGUAGCCCAGCUGGGGAAUCACUCUGGACCUCAGCCACCAAGGACACCUUUCCCUGACUCUUCAGCCAGGAUACCAGGGCCUUUCACUUUCAGCUACAGACUUUUGUCCAAAAUCUCCUUGAAGAGGCGGAUCCUUGGAAACCCAAACCCUCCAGAAAAGUUACUGACUACAUCGGCAGAAGGGAAAAAUGCAUUCAUACUAUGAAGGGCGAUGCUUUUAUUUUACAGCAGCUGAGUGACUCUGAGUUAUUGUGCAAAGAGCCUUGAACCAGAUUCCUACCUUGACUCUGUCCUGUUUUAAUUUUUCAUGUGGAAAGUUGGAUUUCCCCAACUUAACUAGGAUGUUUUCAUCCAUUGACUGGAGCUAACUGUGACUCUUGUGUCUGCUGCUGACCUUUAACCACUGCUGGGAGAAGACGGAGAGUGAGGAUGGAGGCAUGUUUGGGUAGCUGGAAGUCUUCUAUAAAUGCAAAGCUUUUCUAAUUUUUGGUAUCCACAUGAUUGAUGCCAUGGUGCAAAUUGCCCUAGCCAAGGGCAGUGGCUCUCAAACUUGAGUGGGCCUCAGAAUCACUUAUGGUACUUGUGGAAACAGAAGGCUGAGCCCGAUACCCUGAGGCCUGGGAUGGAACCAAGAAUUUGUAUUUCUAAGGAGAUUCCAGCUGGUGCUGACACAGCCUGAAGCCACACUCUGAGGACCAUUGUUUUAGGCUGAGCAGCAACUGAUAAAGAAAAUUUAAGCUCUGGUGGGGAGACAUCAACAUGCAUUGAAGGAAGGAACCCCAAGACAGAUCAAGCCAAGAGGUUUAGCAGCAAAACUUACUGGAACCUGGCCUCCCCAGUGGCGCAGCGGUUGAGCGCUGGGUUGUGAAGCUGCCUGCAGCCUCUGCAAUGACGGUUUGAUCCCCGGCCACCAGGCGAGGGCCCCACAUGGCGCGCAGACCUCUCCUGCCGCCCGCUGCUCCCAUCAGCAGUGUACUUCCUCAGUCUGCCUGCUCUGCUCCCUGCUCCGGCUCUGGUGAAUUCUCUCACCCUCCUGCACUUCUGACUGUAUCCAGUGCUUGUAUAAAUAAAUAAAUCUUUAAAAAAAAAACUUACUGGAACCUUGGCCAUUCCGGAUGCAGAGACUCACUGGAGAAGAAGGUUCUGACUCAGGGCUGCCUGGGCAGUGCUGCCCCUUUAUGUCUGCAAAGGUCUGUACAGUAAAAAAGAAACUGGUCCCCCAGUUCUUAUUGCCAAGGAGCCCAGACUAUGUUGUGUGAUAAAGCCCAAGGACUUGAGCAGACUGACCUGUGAGCCUGUUCUCUCAGAUCUUCUCUGGCAUCAAGUAGCAGAUCAUCUAGGGUCAGGCAGAAUAGAGAGACCUGCUCCUAGCUGUUUCAGUGGAGGGGUUUAACAGAGGGGAUUAUCUGGGUGCUGGAGGCGGUGUGAGCACAAAGGAAGGACUACGAUAACCCUGAGAUGGUAGUUUACAGGAAGAGGUCACUGCUCACGGGCUGGGAGAAGCAAAGGGAAGAAGAAGCUGGAAUUACCAGAACCUUGAGGCUUUGGAGGAUGAACCAGGGAGCUGGGACUGAGGCCAUCCAAGUGACAGCACCUCCUGCCUGCCUCUACAUCUGAGGAGCACCUGAGUCUGGUUCCCGGGGAGCUGGAAUCUGGACAACUGCUGCUGUUGCUGCUAUUUGUCCUCUUAGGCUGAUGCAUAAGGGAGGUUCAUUUAAUAUUUUAUUUUCAUCCACCGAAGCUGUACAGGGUAGAGGUUAGGAAAGUAGGCUCUGGAGACAACUGCCUGUCUUCAAACCUUUGCUCCAUCUCUUAACUUACAACCUCAGUGUGAACUGCACCUUUCCCCAUCUCUCCUCCUAGGUGUGUCUUGUGUUCUCAAUAACACCGAUGGGCAAUGCAUGGGCCUCCACAAACAUUCUCUGUUUCCAUACCAGGCACUGCUCCAGGCUCCGAGGAUAUAUGGGAUGAAGACAGUUGGAUCUCUGUCCUCUUGGAGGUUAUAGUUUUAUGGGAAUGGUUUCAAUUUAAUUAACUUAUUACUCAGUAAAUGACAGAACUCUCUCAUCCCAUCUGACCUUCUCGCCUGGAUCAUUUAACUGCUCUUGCUCUUCCAAAAUCCUAGUGAUGAGAAAAGGACAAGGUUCUGGAAUGCGCUGGGGAUGGGGGUGGGGGGCAGAAAAUAAUCCCUGCUCUGUCUUUCACUUCUAGGAGCCCCUGUCCAGGUGGCUAUUGAUUCCUGAGCUUGUCCUUGUCAGGCCUUCUCCUGCUUUGUUGGGUCUCACCCCUCUGGUGGGGUCUCCAUGCCAUUUACUGCAGCCCAAGUAGCCCCAGAUGAGACACGAGGACCAACUGCAGCUCCCUGCAUCCUUCAAUCUGAAGUUUCAGCAAAUGGAAGGGCUUCCCAGAGGCCCUUGCAACAAUAGGCUAAGUCGCGUGGCUUCUUUGGAUGCUCUUGCCUGAGAUCAGCACAGAGGGUGAUGAGAUGAGGGCACAGAGGCCACGUGGAACUUGACCAAGGCUGCAUCAAUGCAAAGGUGCAGUAUUAAACUGCGCUGCUCAGCCCUACCAGCAGCCUACACAGCCCCUGUCCCAGGCCAGUCACAACUUUCCCUAAGAGCAAAUGUAUCUGUGCUUCCCCUAUCAAAUGGGGGUACUUUCCAAAACCCUCUUCGGGGGCCUCCCUGGUGGCGCAAGGGGUUAAGAUGCAACCCAUGAAGCUGUCUGCAGCCACUGCAGCACGAGUUUGAUCCCCGUCCAGGGAGCUACCCACAUGGCGCAGCAGACCUCUCCUGUCUCGCCCGCAGCUCUCCUCAGCAGUGUAUUUUAGCCGAUCUGCCUGUUCUGUUCCCCACUCUGUCUCUGGUGAAUCCUCUCAUCCCCACACCUCUGGCCUGUACCCCAGUUCUUGUAUGCAUAAAUAA